rnacentral:tRNA from 1 species
AGAAACUUAGGAUAACCCACCCCAAACCGAAG